rnacentral:rRNA from 1 species
UGGGGAAUAUUGCGCAAUGGGGGCAACCCUGAUCCAGCGAUGCCGCGUGUGUGAAGAAGGCCUUCGGGUUGUAAAGCACUUUAGGUUGGGAAGAAGGGUACGUGGUGAAUAGCCAUGUACUUUGACGGUACCGACAGAAUAAGCACCGGCUAACUCUGUGCCAGCAGCCGCGGUAAUACAGAGGGUGCAAGCGUUAAUCGGAGUUACUGGGCGUAAAGGGCGCGUAGGUGGUUGUACAAGUGAGGUGUGAAAUCCCUGGGCUUAACCUAGGAAUUGCACUUUAGACUGUAUAGCUGGAGUGCAGUAGAGGGUAGUGGAAUUUCCGGUGUAGCGGUGAAAUGCGUAGAGAUCGGAAGGAACACCAGUGGCGAAGGCGACUACCUGGACUGCAACUGACACUGAGGCGCGAAAGCGUGGGGAGCAAACGGGAUUAGAUACCCAAGUAGUCCCUGAGCGGGCUGGCAAGGCGCAU